rnacentral:lncRNA from 1 species
UGAAGGGGGAGUGGGGAGGCGGAGGAGGCGUGGUCUUGGACUGGGGAGAGGCCGCGCUUCCUGACCCGGUCCCUCUGCACCAGCGUGGAGGGGGGAGGGGCGCGCACCCUUUCCGCCCAGGCUUUUGCGGGCUCCUCGGGCCGAACCCGAAGGGGCUGUUCCUGAACCUUGACUUGUUAUCAUAGGGACCCAAGCUCUAUUUUUGUGUGGCCAAUUCGUGCACUGCAGCAAAAUGGCCCUUCAGUCGCGUCUUGGGGUUUCUCCUCGGUUCAAAUGCUCUCGCGCUGAGAAAAAGCCGGAGGAAAAAAAAGCGACACCCUCCCUCCCCCAUUAAUUAUUUGUGGGGCCGGAGUAACGCGGGCUGGUGCAACCGGUGCAUAUAAGGACUUGUGUGCAAGGAAGGGGAUCCGCCUCCAGGCGCGGAAAGAGUAGGGAAGAAGCGCACACGCACAGUGCACCCAGCUGGGCGCUUCGGCAGUUUGCAGCUGCGGCGGGGUCGGGUCCACCCGCGGUCCCCGGAAUGCCGGACGGCUGAUCCCGGGUGCUGGUCACUCGCCGAUUCGGGGCUGGGAAGGUUUGCCAGAAGCGGGAAAGAUGGGAGAUCUGAGCGCUCUCUUGGCAUCGCCACACCCAGGACUUGCUCGUGCCGCAAUUCCCCACGGAAACAACCGAGUUGAAACGAGAAGCUUGCUCUCUGGGUGCAGUAGCUAGAAGGCUUCAGGUAACUCCAAAGCCAACACUGGGUGAGGCAACACACGCCGCCUCAGGACUCAGCAUUUCUUUCAGGCUGCGUUUUCGUGGCAGACCUACCCAGAUUGAUGGAGAAAGUUUGGCUGGCGGAUAAGAAGUAACGCGGAAGAUGUAUUAUUGUGGCUGUCACUCAGGUUUUCUGCUCAUUGGUAGACAAAGGGUGAGGAGGUGACUGAAAUUGGAACAGUGGAAGGACCCUUCACCAAAACCUGGAACUUCAGAAGAAUGGCAGGGCUGAAAAUGAUUAGUGUUAAUUCAUUCCAGUUGUGUUACCCUACCCAUAAGACUGCCUGAAGGAGCCUGAACUUCCACGUGCUGUCUUCCAUAUAAUGUGAUCUGAGGUGAAGAGCAUGGUCCCUGGAGUUGAACUGCCUGAAGUAAA